rnacentral:tRNA from 1 species
GGAAAUUGGCGAAGUUGGCCAACACGUUUGACUGGCAGUCAAAAGGUGACGGGUUCGAAUCCCGUAUUCUCCA